AGCCAUGUGGUGAGCACAAAGCGAACUAUUCUUUCGCCUUUUACUAAAAAAUACCGUGUGCUCUCCAUGCUUAAAUGGCAUACGCCUUUUUUUGGAGGUACCUGCUUUCGAGUGGGCC
rnacentral:snRNA from 2 species